GACGAACGCUGGCGGCAUGCCUAAUACAUGCAAGUCGAGCGAAUGAUGAAGAAGCUUGCUUCUUCUGAUUUAGCGGCGGACGGGUGAGUAACACGUGGGCAACCUGCCCUGUAGAUUGGGAUAACUCCGGGAAACCGGGGCUAAUACCGAAUAAUCCAUUUCCUCUCAUGGAGAGAUGUUAAAAGACGGUUUCGGCUGUCACUGUAGGAUGGGCCCGCGGCGCAUUAGCUAGUUGGUGGGGUAAUGGCCUACCAAGGCAACGAUGCGUAGCCGACCUGAGAGGGUGAUCGGCCACACUGGGACUGAGACACGGCCCAG
rnacentral:rRNA from 1 species